GCGCAGCAGGCGAGAAUUUUUCUCAAUGGGCGAAAGCCUGAAGGAGCGACGCCGCGUGGAGGAUGAAGGCCUUCGGGUUGUAAACUCCUGUCAUUUGAGAACAAGUGCCAACAAGUAACUACUGUUGGCUUGAUAGUAUCAGAAGAGGAAGGAACGGCUAACUCUGUGCCAGCAGCCGCGGUAAUACAGAGGUCCCAAGCGUUGUUCGGAUUCAUUGGGCGUAAAGGGUGCGUAGGUGGCGCCAUAAGUCAGGUGUGAAAUUUCGGAGCUUAACUCCGAAACUGCAUUUGAUACUGUGGUGCUUGAGGACUGGAGAGGAGACUGGAAUUUACGGUGUAGCAGUGAAAUGCGUAGAGAUCGUAAGGAAGACCAGUGGCGAAGGCGGGUCUCUGGACAGUUCCUGACACUGAGGCACGAAGGCCAGGGGAGCAAACGGGAUUAGAUA
rnacentral:rRNA from 1 species